GGAAUUGUUCGCAAUGGGCGCAAGCCUGACGACGCAACGCCGCGUGGAGGACGAAGAUCUUCGGGUCGUAAACUCCUUUCGAUCGGGAAGAACGGCUUCCGGGUGAACAAUCCGGGAGAGUGACGGUACCGAGAGAAGAAGCCCCGGCUAACUCUGUGCCAGCAGCCGCGGUAAUACAGGGGGGGCAAGCGUUGUCCGGAAUCAUUGGGCGUAAAGGGCGCGUAGGUGGCCCGGUCAGUCCGUGGUGAAAGCGCGGGGCUCAACCCUGCGUCGGCCAUGGAUACUGCCGCGGCUCGAGCACUGUAGAGGCAGGCGGAAUUCCGGGUGUAGCGGUGGAAUGCGUAGAGAUCCGGAAGAACACCGGUGGCGAAGGCGGCCUGCUGGGCAGUUUAGCUGACACUGAGGCGCGACAGCGUGGGGAGCAAAC
rnacentral:rRNA from 1 species